rnacentral:rRNA from 1 species
GACGUAGGGCGCGAGCGUUGUCCGGAUUUAUUGGGCGUAAAGAGCUCGUAGGCGGCUUGUCGCGUCGGCUGUGAAAACCCGAGGCUCAACCUCGGGCCUGCAGUCGAUACGGGCAAACUAGAGUACUGCAGGGGAGACUGGAAUUCCUGGUGUAGCGGUGAAAUGCGCAGAUAUCAGGAGGAACACCGGUGGCGAAGGCGGGUCUCUGGGCAGUAACUGACGCUGAGGAGCGAAAGCGUGGGGAGCGAACAGG